GACGAACGCUGGCGGCGUGCUUAACACAUGCAAGUCGAACGGAAAGGCCCUGCUUUUGUGGUUUGCUCGAGUGGCGAACGGGUGAGUAACACGUGAGUAACCUGCCCUUGACUUUGGGAUAACUUCAGGAAACUGGGGCUAAUACCGGAUAGGAGCUCCUGCUGCAUGGUGGGGGUUGGAAAGUUUCGGCGGUUGGGGAUGGACUCGCGGCUUAUCAGCUUGUUGGUGGGGUAGUGGCCUACCAAGGCUUUGACGGGUAGCCGGCCUGAGAGGGUGACCGGCCACAUUGGGACGGAGAUACGGCCCAGACUCCUACGGGAGGCAGCAGUGGGGAAUAUUGCACAAUGGGCGGAAGCCUGAUGCAGCAACGCCGCGUGCGGGAUGACGGCCUUCGGGUUGUAAACCGCUUUCGCCUGUGACGAAGCGUGAGUGACGGUAAUGGGUAAAGAAGCACCGGCUAACUACGUG
rnacentral:rRNA from 1 species